rnacentral:tRNA from 1 species
GAGGGUAUAGCUCAGCAAUAGAGCAUUUUCCUAGCAAGCACAAGGCCCUGAGUUCAAAUCCCACUACCAUCA